GAUGAACGCUGACAGAAUGCUUAACACAUGCAAGUCUACCAAGAAUCACUUCGGUGAGGAAUGGUGGCGGACGGGUGAGUAACGCGUAAAUAAUCUGCCCUUUAGACUGGGAUAUCCUUAGGAAACGAAGGUUAAUACCGGAUAUUAUGAGGUGGACGCAUGUUCAACUUAUGAAAGCUAAAUGCACUAGAGGAGGAGUUUGCGUCCCAUUAGCUAGUUGGUGGGGUAAAGGCUCACCAAGGCCACGAUGGGUAGCCGGCCUGAGAGGGUGAAAGGCAACAAGGGAACUGAGACACGGUCCUUACUCCUACGGGAGGCAGCAGUGGGGAAUAUUGGACAAUGGACCAAAAGUCUGAUCCAGCAAUUCUGUGUGCACGAUGAAGGUCUUCGGAUUGUAAAGUGCUUUCAGUAGGGAAGAAAAAAAUGACGGUACCUACAGAAGAAGCGACGGCUAAAUAUGUGCCAGCCGCCGCCGUAACAC
rnacentral:rRNA from 1 species